CGAGUGAGUAACACGUAUCCAACCUGCCCUUUACUCGGGGAUAGCCUUUCGAAAGAAAGAUUAAUACCCGAUAGUAUAAUGAUUCCGCAUGGUUUCAUUAUUAAAGGAUUCCGGUAAAGGAUGGGGAUGCGUUCCAUUAGGUUGUUGGUGAGGUAACGGCUCACCAAGCCUUCGAUGGAUAGGGGUUCUGAGAGGAAGGUCCCCCACAUUGGAACUGAGACACGGUCCAA
rnacentral:rRNA from 1 species